rnacentral:rRNA from 1 species
ACACGACUACAUUAGAUACCCGUGUAGUCCUAGCCGUAAACGAUACUCGCUAGGUGUCGGCCACGGUGCGACCGUUGUCGGUGCCGUAGGGAAGCCGUGAAGCGAGCCACCUGGGAAGUACGGCCGCAAGGCUGAGACUUAAAGGAAUUGGCGGGGGAGCACAACAACGGGUGGAGCUUGCGGUUUAAUUGGAUUCAACGCCGGAAAUCUUACCGGGACCGACAGCAACAUGAAGGCCAAGCUGAAGACUUUGCCGGAUUAGCUG